CAAGCAUCAGAGGCCACCCAGGCGGUGGCAUCGUUGGCAGAGGCCGCAGUGGCAGCUUCUCAGGAGAUGCAGCAGGGAGCUACAGUCACUAUGGCGCUUAACAGCGAAGCUGCCGCCCAUGCUGUCGCCACCCUGGCUGAGGCCACCUUACAAGGUGGGGGACAGAUCGUCUUGUCUGGGGAAACCGCAGCAGCCGUCGGAGCACUUACUGGAGUCCAAGAUGCUAAUGGUAAGAGAGCAUAAAUAUUUUAUUAAAUUUCUUCCCUGUUUCCACUUAAACCUUCCUGACAUGACUGGCAACAAAGCCUUCAGAAAGAGUUUGAGCUUCGAUUUUUUUUUCUUCAUUGGUAGACAUUUCAUGCCUAGGAAUAUUCUGGGAGCCUGUGAUUCCUUUCACUAGUAGGAAACAUGGGGGUUCCUGAAGGAAAAUACUGUGAUAAUGGCUACCUAAUUGAAUUGUUACUUAAAAAGUGAUUAUCGUCUUGUGACAAGACUUGCUGAGAAGCACCUUAAAAUUCACUGUGAGCCACAUUUUGUCUUUUACUGUCUCAUCGGAUAGGGUAGAUCAAUGUCCUUUACUGUAGCAGAGACUCUCUCAUGGGCAGGACCAUCAUGGAAAGUUCUGACUACAUCAAGAAAGGCGCCAAUGUCUCACCUGUGCUUGGGGUCAGGCAGCAGGCUGUGAUGCCGGUGCCUCUCUGGUUGGUACUGUGGUUCUGCUUCCUGUUAUAUGUAGCCUCACGAAGGACCUUUGGAUUUAGCCAAUUACAUGCCCCUACCCUGAGCUUCUUCCCCAGCUCUUUGACUUCCUGGACAUUGGUGAAUAUCCUGAAUAAGCAAAAGGGAUAAAAUUCAUAGAAAUAUGGUGGCAAAAAUAUACAACUUCAGCCCAGUUCUUUGGGUCCAUGUUGGUAAGGAGUCAGUUGGCAAGACAAGCUGCCCAAGGAAGUGCCUCAGAAGUCUGGGUCAAAGAGGAGGGCCAGAUCUGUUCUGUGAGACCCUAUGUGAUUGUUAUAUUUUUAAAUAAUAUAUAAUUAAGCAGGACAAAUUAAAUACUCCAUGGCUUUGGGGAAAUUGUUGCUUUAAAGUCCUGGAAUGGGGCUGGGCACGGUGGCUCAUGCCUAUUAAUCCCAGCACUUUGGGAAGCCAAAGUGGGUGGAUCACCUGAGGUCAGGAGUUCAAGACCAGCCUGGCCAACAUGGCAAAACCCUGUCCAUGGUGGUGUGCGAGGCUGAGGCAAGAAAAUCGCUUGAACCCGAGAGGCAGAGGUUGCAGUGACCUGAGAUUGCGCCACUGCACUCCAACCUGGGUGACAGAAUGAGACUCCGUCUC
rnacentral:lncRNA from 1 species